rnacentral:lncRNA from 1 species
AUCUGUCUACGAGGAAAGGAUGCAUCUUCAUUUGGAAGUAAUUUCUUCUUCAUUAUUUUCACUUCGUAUCUGGUGUGCUGUUGCAUGAUGAGACAAAGCGUUUCUCUAAGUACAAACAUCGUCGCCCUUUUUAUCUAAUUGCCCGUACUGAUAAUGUUCCAUCUUUCUUGAUAUGGAAGUACUUUAUGCCCAUAUUAAAAGUCUCCUGUCCUGUUUUCAUUUAUACAAAGGCUUACCCUGUCACCCAUUUUUUGUCGCAUUCCUUUAGUCUCUAGCAUAUCUUUCCACCAAAACUGGGAGUAAAGAUUCAUGAUUCCCCCAAAGUAUGUUUGAGAAGGAUCUUUCCCUUGCUCAAGACUAGUAUGAUCAAGGAAUUACUAAGGAAACCAAAUUAUUCUCCUUCCCUCUCUAGAGUAUGAUCAACCGUGUUUACCUCGAAGAAGGCCACAAUAAAUAAAGUAAUCUCCUUUAGCCAAGUUGGCAUUAGGAGAAUUUUGUUGUGUCCAUUCCUUUGAGCUUAAUAUCUAUGUUGGCUAACGUGGUAGCUAACACAAUGCCCAAGUUUUCUAAGUACAAUACAAUUUCCUUUCCUUUAAUAAUGAGAUUGGAAUAAUUAUUUCGGACUAUUGUUCUUCUUCUUGUCAUGAGGAGAAUAAUUCUCAAAUAAAUUUGCCUUGGAAUUGAAAUACUUCUUUAUAUGGAAAAACAAUGUUCACAUAACAAUGAAAAUCUCUUAAUACCAUUUUCAGUCGAAAGGAUGUGUUCUUUGGGUGGGUGACACUUUUCUUUAUAGAAAUCACACAACACGAUAAAUAAUCGCGUCUAUUCAUGUUGGAC